rnacentral:RNase_P_RNA from 1 species
CCAGCUGGCCGGGCGGCCGCUGCCGGGGUUGCAGGCUUUGCGGCCGAAGCACCCGGUGGAGGAAAGUCCGGGCUCCAGGGAUCAACGGUGGCGGCUAACGGCCGCCGGGGGUGACCCCAGGGAAAGUGCCACAGAAAACAGACCGCCGGAGCGGGGCAACCCGCAAAGGCAAGGGUGAAACGGUGCGGUAAGAGCGCACCGCGUCUCCGGCAACGGAGGCGGCACGGCAAACCCCACCGGGAGCAAGACCGAAUAGGGGCGGCACGAUGCCGGGGCGACCCGGUAUCAGGCGAGAUCCAGGCCGCCGCCCGGGUUGGUUGCUCGAGGCUCGGAGCGAUCCGCGCCCAAGAUGAAUGGCCGUCGCGGAGGGGCAACUCUCCAGACAGAACCCGGCUUACAGGCCGGCUGGCAAA